rnacentral:rRNA from 1 species
UGUGAGCUCGAUGAGUAGGGCGGGACACGUGGUAUCCUGUCUGAAUAUGGGGGGACCAUCCUCCAAGGCUAAAUACUCCUGACUGACCGAUAGUGAACCAGUACCGUGAGGGAAAGGCGAAAAGAACCCCGGCGAGGGGAGUGAAAAAGAACCUGAAACCGUGUACGUACAAGCAGUGGGAGCACGCUUAGGCGUGUGACUGCGUACCUUUUGUAUAAUGGGUCAGCGACUUAUAUUCUGUAGCAAGGUUAACCGAAUAGGGGAGCCGAAGGGAAACCGAGUCUUAACUGGGCGUUAAGUUGCAGGGUAUAGACCCGAAACCCGGUGAUCUAGCCAUGGGCAGGUUGAAGGUUGGGUAACACUAACUGGAGGACCGAACCGACUAAUGUUGAAAAAUUAGCGGAUGACUUGUGGCUGGGGGUGAAAGGCCAAUCAAACCGGGAGAUAGCUGGUUCUCCCCGAAAGCUAUUUAGGUAGCGCCUCGUGAAUUCAUCUCCGGGGGUAGAGCACUGUUUCGGCAAGGGGGUCAUCCCGACUUACCAACCCGAUGCAAACUGCGAAUACCGGAGAAUGUUAUCACGGGAGACACACGGCGGGUGCUAACGUCCGUCGUGAAGAGGGAAACAACCCAGACCGCCAGCUAAGGUCCCAAAGUCAUGGUUAAGUGGGAAACGAUGUGGGAAGGCCCAGACAGCCAGGAUGUUGGCUUAGAAGCAGCCAUCAUUUAAAGAAAGCGUAAUAGCUCACUGGUCGAGUCGGCCUGCGCGGAAGAUGUAACGGGGCUAAACCAUGCACCGAAGCUGCGGCAGCGACGCUUAUGCGUUGUUGGGUAGGGGAGCGUUCUGUAAGCCUGUGAAGGUGUGCUGUGAGGCAUGCUGGAGGUAUCAGAAGUGCGAAUGCUGACAUAAGUAACGAUAAAGCGGGUGAAAAGCCCGCUCGCCGGAAGACCAAGGGUUCCUGUCCAACGUUAAUCGGGGCAGGGUGAGUCGACCCCUAAGGCGAGGCCGAAAGGCGUAGUCGAUGGGAAACAGGUUAAUAUUCCUGUACUUGGUGUUACUGCGAAGGGGGGACGGAGAAGGCUAUGUUGGCCGGGCGACGGUUGUCCCGGUUUAAGCGUGUAGGCUGGUUUUCCAGGCAAAUCCGGAAAAUCAAGGCUGAGGCGUGAUGACGAGGCACUACGGUGCUGAAGCAACAAAUGCCCUGCUUCCAGGAAAAGCCUCUAAGCAUCAGGUAACAUCAAAUCGUACCCCAAACCGACACAGGUGGUCAGGUAGAGAAUACCAAGGCGCUUGAGAGAACUCGGGUGAAGGAACUAGGCAAAAUGGUGCCGUAACUUCGGGAGAAGGCACGCUGAUAUGUAGGUGAAGUCCCUUGCGGAUGGAGCUGAAAUCAGUCGAAGAUACCAGCUGGCUGCAACUGUUUAUUAAAAACACAGCACUGUGCAAACACGAAAGUGGACGUAUACGGUGUGACGCCUGCCCGGUGCCGGAAGGUUAAUUGAUGGGGUCAGCGCAAGCGAAGCUCUUGAUCGAAGCCCCGGUAAACGGCGGCCGUAACUAUAACGGUCCUAAGGUAGCGAAAUUCCUUGUCGGGUAAGUUCCGACCUGCACGAAUGGCGUAAUGAUGGCCAGGCUGUCUCCACCCGAGACUCAGUGAAAUUGAACUCGCUGUGAAGAUGCAGUGUACCCGCGGCAAGACGGAAAGACCCCGUGAACCUUUACUAUAGCUUGACACUGAACAUUGAGCCUUGAUGUGUAGGAUAGGUGGGAGGCUUUGAAGUGUGGACGCCAGUCUGCAUGGAGCCGACCUUGAAAUACCACCCUUUAAUGUUUGAUGUUCUAACGUGGACCCGUGAUCCGGGUUGCGGACAGUGUCUGGUGGGUAGUUUGACUGGGGCGGUCUCCUCCUAAAGAGUAACGGAGGAGCACGAAGGUUGGCUAAUCCUGGUCGGACAUCAGGAGGUUAGUGCAAUGGCAUAAGCCAGCUUGACUGCGAGCGUGACGGCGCGAGCAGGUGCGAAAGCAGGUCAUAGUGAUCCGGUGGUUCUGAAUGGAAGGGCCAUCGCUCAACGGAUAAAAGGUACUCCGGGGAUAACAGGCUGAUACCGCCCAAGAGUUCAUAUCGACGGCGGUGUUUGGCACCUCGAUGUCGGCUCAUCACAUCCUGGGGCUGAAGUAGGUCCCAAGGGUAUGGCUGUUCGCCAUUUAAAGUGGUACGCGAGCUGGGUUUAGAACGUCGUGAGACAGUUCGGUCCCUAUCUGCCGUGGGCGCUGGAGAACUGAGGGGGGCUGCUCCUAGUACGAGAGGACCGGAGUGGACGCAUCACUGGUGUUCGGGUUGUCAUGCCAAUGGCACUGCCCGGUAGCUAAAUGCGGAAGAGAUAAGUGCUGAAAGCAUCUAAGCACGAAACUUG